GACGAACGCUGGCGGCGUGCUUAACACAUGCAAGUCGAACGAUGAAGAAGAGAAACGCGAACUUCGGUUCAAAUUUCACUUCGGAUUAGUGGCAGACGGGUGAGUAACGCGUGAGCAACCUACCUCUUACAAAGGGAUAGCCUCGGGAAACCGUGAUUAAUACCAUAUGACACAUUCAUAAGGCAUCUUAAGAAUGUUAAAGCUACGGCGGUAAGAGAUGGGCUCGCGUCCCAUUAGCUAGUUGGUGAGGUAACGGCCCACCAAGGCGACGAUGGGUAACUGGGAUGAGAGGGUGAAAGGUCACAUUGGAACUGAGACACGGUCCCAACUCCUACGGGAGGCAGCAGUGGGGAAUAUUGCACAAUGGAGGGAAAUCUGAUGCAGCGACGCCGCGUGAGAGAUGAAGGAAUUCGUUUCGUAAAGCUCUGUUCUAUGGGAAGAAAAGGACGGUACCAUAGGAGAAAGCCCCGGCUAACUACGUG
rnacentral:rRNA from 1 species